ACAUCUGGAGAGAAGUCUUGUUAAUUGAUAAAAAACAAGGCUCACCGAAGGGGAUGGGUAAAUUUGAAUGGAUCAAAUUUAAUCCGAAGCUCUCAGGUACAGUGACAGAUGGG
rnacentral:ncRNA from 1 species